GGCUCAUUUCCCCAGAGUGCAAACUGAGUGCGGUGGAAGCAGUGGUGUGAAAUCAGCAAAGUGGAGAGGCAUGAGGAGAAGAAGUUUUGGGUUCCUUACUGAGAAGCCUGAGCCAACCUCACCCAUAGCCACUGGCAGACAGAGGGGACAUCCUGGUUCAGGCUUCCCCAAAGAGAUGUCUUUCAGGCAACAUCCCAGCUUCCCCACGGGACAGUGCAAAUGCCAGACAUCAUUAGAUCUAGAGUACACAUAAGGAGAAGCCACGGCUAUUCCCAGGCAAUUGCAGGGCUGGGGGGCAGGAGGCAGCUGGAAAGAGAUGCUCUGCCCACAGUCCGGGAGCAGAGGAUGUGUCCUUGGGGAAGCACAGAUGCCUCAAAUGGAGACUUUACACACAUGGGGGUGGCAGGAUAAGUGGCCCUUAGCCAACGCAUCCUUGCUAUUCUCCUGCCUGUCUUUGAUUUUAA